GCCCAGGUGCUGAAAUCGGUAGACAGGCAGCGUUGAGGUCGCUGUGGGGAUUAUCCCCGUGGAGGUUCAAGUCCUCUCCUGGGCA
rnacentral:tRNA from 1 species